GUUUUUGAUUGAUUACUUCGCCAAUGAACUUAUACUAGAUCGAUCGUUUUUGAAGCAAUUUAAAACAUUCGCAGUGCGUGUUUUAUCAGACCUAAAUAUAGUCUUGGCUUCGCCUCGUAUCUUUAUAUCUGAUAAAACACUGCUGCUCAUGUUUUAAAUAGUCAUCGAAUUUCCACUCGAUAGUUUCCAUGUACAAAAUUGGCCCUUGGUUAUUUAUCCAGUGGCACCUAAAAUAUUGUCUGUAUAUUUUGACAAGGACUUCCUGGUCAUAUAUAACUAGAUUCCUGAGUACAUUAGUCAUUAACCUGACUUGUAGGAAGUGAGAUAAAAUAACCAGGAAAUUUAAUUUCUAGGUUAACCAUUUUCUCUAGUACACCGUAAUUCUAUAUAAAAUAAAAUAGUAAUUAAUUUUUACCACUAAUUUGUGCAAUCAUGAUCUAGUAUUCUUAUAUUUUUAGCAAUAUUUAAAUAUUUGUAGCACAAGAAUAUGUGUAAGAGUUUAGAAUAUUUUUGAGCCACAUGUAAUCACUAUUAUGAUGUUGAUAUCAUACCGCAGGGGGAAAUUGAAUAUACCAAGGAUUUAAAUUUAAAUCGUACAGUGUGUCUAGGAAACUUAACUUCAGUCUUAGUUCAAGCUGUGACAGAAAAUAUUUAUUAAUUAUUAUACAUGUAAAUUUCAGUAUAUCAUUAUAAAAUGUCUGUUAGGCAUGCCCUUGAAAGCUAUAAAAACAUAAAGAGCUUUUAAACUACAUAACCAAUUAUAUUGCGUAUAAAUGUUGUUCCACUUGGGAUUAACAAUAAAAGUUAUCACCG